CAUUUGGGCGCUACCACUCUACCCUUUGUGACUAUUAUACCUGUUGCUUCGGCGGCGCCCGCAAGGGUGCCCGCCGGUCUCAUCAGAAUCUCUGUUUUCGAACCCGACGAUACUUCUGAGUGUUCUUAGCGAACUGUCAAAACUUUUAACAACGGAUCUCUUGGCUCCAGCAUCGAUGAAGAACGCAGCGAAACGCGAUAUGUAAUGUGAAUUGCAGAAUUCAGUGAAUCAUCGAAUCUUUGAACGCACAUGGCGCCUUCCAGUAUCCUGGGAGGCAUGCCUGUCCGAGCGUCGUUUCAACCCUCGAGCCCCUGUGGCCCGGCGUUGGGGAUCUGCCACGGCAGGCCCCUAAAACCAGUGGCGGACCCGAAGGCCCUCUCCUUUGCGCAGUAGCAUCAGCCUCGCAUUGGGAUCCCUCGGCGUCCUGCCUCUAAACCCCCCACAAGUCCGCUCCGGCGGCACCAAGGUUGACCUCGGAUCAGGUAGGAAUACCCGCUGAACUUAAGCAUAUCAAUAAGCGGAGGAA
rnacentral:rRNA from 1 species